rnacentral:misc_RNA from 1 species
UUAACUUGUCAAGCCUUUAUUGGCUUGGAUGUUUGGAGGCUUUGCAGGUGCGCUCAGUCGUCUGCUCCUCUCAAAUGCAUUAGCUGAGCUGGCAUGAUAAUUGUAUCUGCCAAUCGCUCACUUUUUAUUAUUAUUUAU